CAAGGGGCUUCCUUGCUCAUCUGGAUAAACUCUCAGAAGAGGGUAAGAAUCAGAAGGGCUUUUCCUGGAGAAGGCGGCUUUGGCUCAGGAAUAUGUACAGAACCGUCAGUCCCUCACGUGAGAAAAACCUGGCGCAGAAGCUACUUGAGACGGAUGGAGGGGAGCUCAGUGAAGUCGUAAUAGAGAAGGAUGUGACUUCAGGGUUGGGUGCCGGAGGGAGGAGAGUGAAGCCCAAGAUACCACCACAGAGGGAGCCCCAGCCUGCCCCGGGCCACCUACAACGCUUCUAAUAUUGGCUUCUCAAUAAAAUACAUAAUUUUCUCUCAUUGAAGUGUAUGAACUCAUAACCAAUCCUAGCCAUCUGGUAAGGAAUUAAAGUACAAAUUGUUAAAUACUUACAUGCAAAUA